rnacentral:rRNA from 1 species
UACAGAGGAGCCAAGCGUUGUCCGGAUUGACUGGGCGUAAAGCGCACGCAGGCGGAUGCGCGCGUGGGGUGUGAAAUCUGGCCGCUUAACGGCCAGGCGCCAUCCCAUACGGCGCGUCUGGAGUGAUGCAGAGGUCGAUGGAAUUCCAGGUGUAGCGGUGAAAUGCGUAGAUAUCUGGAGGAACACCGGUGGCGAAGGCGGCGUCCUGGACCAAUACUGACACUGAGGAGCGAAAGCAUGGGGAGCAAACAGG